rnacentral:lncRNA from 1 species
UGCCUCUACCUCCCUAGUGGCUGGCAGGUUACUGGUAUGCAUCACCACCGCCCAGCUCCUGUAUGGUUGUGGAUCUAAGUGUUGCGGCUCAGAAGGAAAAGGCUUCCGCUACGGAAAUGGACUGUGCAGGGGAAGGUUUCUCCAACAAAAGUGUUACAGCCCUGCUCAGGUACGUAUGUGCAUCCAUGAAUGUCAGGUUGGAAGACAGGGUGAGAUCUAGCAGUGGAGUUAGACCCUUGUGAGGUACCAUGGAGAUGCUGGGAGCCGAACCUGGUUCUUUGCAAGAGCAACCAAUCGUCUUGACCACUGAGC